rnacentral:misc_RNA from 1 species
UUUCCGUAGGUGAACCUGCGGAAGGAUCAUUGUCAAAACCUUGCCCAAAGGAUGACCCGAGAAUGAGUUUGUAACCCUUGAUGGAAGCGAGACAAUCUCGCGUUCAUUUUGUCGGCACGCAUGCGAUUUGACCCAAGUGCGGUUGUCUCAAAGUUUGAAGUGAUGGCUUCUUCUUUGGCAAGGCUACUCACGUUUUUGGGUGCUUAUCCCUCGUGAUCUCCGAUUUCAACCAACCAUUCGGCGCGGAAUGCGCCAAGGAAAGCAAUACAAAGAGCAAGCUGUUGCGGCACAUCAUUGAUGUGCCUCAUGCAGGAUGCCGUACACAUAAUAAACGACUCUCGGCAACGGAUAUCUCGGCUCUCGCAUCGAUGAAGAACGCAGCGAAAUGCGAUACUUGGUGUGAAUUGCAGAAUCCCGUGAAUCAUCGAGUCUUUGAACGCAAGUUGCGCCCAAAGCCAUUAGGUGAAGGGCACGCCUGCCUGGGCGUCAUGCGUCGUGCUGCACCCUAUGUCCCUACCUUAUGAGUGGUGGAAUUCCGUGGGGCGUGAUGUUGGCUUCCCGUAGAGUGAUGAUGCGGUUAGCUGAAAUUUAGGGUCCCUGGCGGCACGCCUCGAUGACAAGUUGUGGAUAACAAUGUUUGCCUCGUGUUGCCGUGUGACGAAUUUUCAGACUUUUGGACUCCAUUCACCUCGUGAGAAUGGAACUCCAUUUGCGACCCC